GCCAGGCGCGGUGGUGUGUACCUGCAGUCCCAGCUACUCUGGAGGCUGAGGUGGGAGGAUCACUUGAGCCAAGAGUUCUGGGCUGUGGUGCGCUAUGCCGAUUGGUUGUCUGCACUAAGUUCAGCAUCAGUAUGGUGACCUCCUGGGAGCAGGGGACCACCAGGUUGCCUAAGGAGGGGUGAACCGUCCCACGUCAGAAACGGAGCAGGUCAAAACUCCUGUGCUGAUCAGUAGUGGGAUCUCACCUGUGAAUAGCCACUGCACUCCAGCCUGGAGAACAUAGUAAGACCCCAUCUCUU
ensembl:misc_RNA Metazoa_SRP Metazoan signal recognition particle RNA